UGUGUGGGGGCAUAAGAUUAUACUGCUUACGGUCACGAGUAAUACGCUUUGUAUGGAAGCGCAAGAGUGUAUGGUAAUGGGAAGAUGGUUGGAUUUGGCUUCUUUAAUGCUUACUUCUGCUGAGUUGAGAUUUUGUUCUUCAAGGUGCCUUUUAGUCCCUAUGAAUAAAUUUUGUGUAAUUAGUUUAGAUAAGACAGAUUGAAUGUUGUCUAGGAUUUCCU
rnacentral:lncRNA from 1 species